CCGAGAUGUUGGUUCGUCCAACACCUUCACACCUUUGCGAAUCGAAAUUGUUGCUUCGGCGGGACACCGUCAGGUCGUCGGCGAAAGCGGGCGAGCGCCCGCCGAACUUUCUACUCUUUUCUGAUUGCAGUCUGUUAUUACAUUAAAUGUAUAA
rnacentral:misc_RNA from 1 species